rnacentral:rRNA from 1 species
AUUGAACGCUGGCGGCAUGCUUUACACAUGCAAGUCGAACGGCAGCACAGCAGAGGUAACUCUGUGGGUGGCGAGUGGCGAACGGGUGAGUAAUACAUCGGAACGUACCCUGUUGUGGGGGAUAACUACGCGAAAGCGUAGCUAAUACCGCAUACGCCCUGAGGGGGAAAGCGGGGGACCCUAAAUAGAGCGCACUGGGGAGUGCGUUGUAUUUAGGGCCUCGCGCAAUAGGAGCGGCCGAUGUCGGAUUAGCUAGUUGGUGAGGUAAAGGCUUACCAAGGCGACGAUCCGUAGCUGGUCUGAGAGGAUGAUCAGCCACACUGGGACUGAGACACGGCCCAGACUCCUACGGGAGGCAGCAGUGGGGAAUAUUGGGCAAUGGGCGCAAGCCUGACCCAGCCAUGCCGCGUGAGUGACGAAGGCCUUAGGGUUGUAAAGCUCUUUCGGCGGGGAAAAAAUCGCCUCUCCUAAUACGGGGGUGGAUGAUGGUACCGGACUAAG